rnacentral:rRNA from 1 species
UACGUAAGGUCCGAGCGUUGUCCGGAAUCAUUGGGCGUAAAGGGCACGUAGGCGGAGAAGCAAGUUAGAAGUGAAAUCCUAUAGCUCAACUAUAGUAAGCUUUUAAAACUGGUCAUCUUGAGGUAUGGAAGGGAAAGUGGAAUUCCUAGUGUAGCGGUGAAAUGCGUAGAGAUUAGGAGGAAUACCGGUGGCGAAGGCGACUUUCUGGACAUAAACUGACGCUGAGGUGCGAAAGCGUGGGGAGCAAACAGG